rnacentral:rRNA from 1 species
CGCGAAAACUCUACAAUGCACGCAAGUGUGAUAGGGCAACCCCUCGUGCUCAACUAACGUUGGGCUUUUAUUAUGUGUAAUGUACAUAAUGAAUAAGUGGUGGCAAGACCGGUGCCAGCAGCCGCGGUAAUACCGGCGCCACGAGUUGGAGUUCACUAUUAUUGGGUCUAAAAGUGUCCGUAAGCUGGGUUUAUUAAGUCUCUUGUGAAAUUUCUGUUACUUAACUCAGAAACUGCAAGAGAUACUGGUAAACUCGAGACCGGAAGAGGUAACAAGUA